rnacentral:rRNA from 1 species
UACGUAGGGCGCAAGCGUUAUCCGGAAUUAUUGGGCGUAAAGAGCUCGUAGGCGGUUUGUCGCGUCUGCCGUGAAAGUCCGGGGCUCAACUCCGGAUCUGCGGUGGGUACGGGCAGACUAGAGUGAUGUAGGGGGAGACUGGAAUUCCUGGUGUAGCGGUGAAAUGCGCAGAUAUCAGGAGGAACACCGGAUGGCGAAGGCAGGUCUCGUGG